rnacentral:rRNA from 1 species
GGCCAGCGAGAGAACUGUUGUUAAGGAACUCGGCAAAAUGACCCCGUAACUUAGGAUAAGGGGUGCCACCAUCAGGUGGCCGCAGAGAAUAGGCCCAAGCGACUGUUUACCAAAAACAUAGGUUUCUGCUAAGUCGCAAGACGAUGUAUAGGAGCUGACGCCUGCCCGGUGCUGGAAGGUUAAGGGGAUCUGUUAGAGCAAUCGAAGCAGUGAACUUAAGCCCCAGUAAACGGCGGCCGUAACUAUAACGGUCCUAAGGUAGCGAAAUUCCUUGUCGGGUAAGUUCCGACCCGCACGAA